ACCCCAGGCCCACGCCCUCGGUCGGCGCUGGCAGUUCGUAUCCCGGGGUCGGCGCAGCCCACUUCUUGGGAUGGGCCAGAGGGAGUGUGAGCCGGCGUUGGGCCCAACUUUGUGAAGUUCAGAGACUCACCGUCGAAAGAGACCGCCUUGGCAGUCGUCCCCAUUACGCCUUUUUUUUUUUGCCCUUCCCUGCCUCGAGCGCCCUGAGCCUUUGCCGUGUUCCGGAGCUCCGCGGCUGUCUGACAGCCGGCCCUGCCUUGGGCACCUAGUCCUCUUCAGGUGUUGGGCUGAGAGGGACAGGGAUUGAGAAACGGAAAUACCACCACCGUCCAGCCAAACCUGUGAGGACUGAUUGCAGGGGAACUGGUGCUCCAGAUGUUGCACUAGAGGCGCUGCGAGUGUGAGCAGGUGACAGUCGGCUUCCAUUAUGAGUUGUAGCAGAUGUUCUCAACAUUUCUUUUGAAACUUCCUUAUAUUUCCUUGAAUGAGGAGCCCCAGAGCCUCAUCCCUGUGGUAGCUACCAUGCUUUGAUGUAAGCUGCUGUUCACCAGGGAGGUUUGACAAGAGAAUUGGCCACGUGAGCAAGUUCAUCUCCAUUGUGGAAAAACAACUUGAAUCUCAUCUCUUUCGAAGCUUGUAGUUGUUUUGGUGGAGGGACUGAUUCUAGAGCUUCGUACUCAGUCAUCGUCCAUGAUACCACUCCCUGCUGUGUUCAUUUUAAAAAUGUUCCUGUUUGGACAAAAAGUUUUAUGGUCACCUAUCGAUGUACUGUCUGUAGGACAGGGGUAGCCUGAAUGCCUGCUUCACUGAAUACCUGCUUCACAGCUCCUUUCACAUUUUCUUGUUGGAAAGACAACCGUUGGAGAAUCAUCUUGUUACCGUCGCAAAAAUGCAAACAAAUCAAGACAUUAAGAAUGCCACAGUGGCCAGCAGUUAAUGAUGCCAGUGUUACACAAGCUUCAGCAAAGUUUUCAAGACAGUGUGCCUCACUAGCCAGAAAUCAGGGAAGAUUGAACCUAUCCUUUUUGUCUCAGCUGUUCCUUAAAUCAAUGCAUCCCCUCCAAAUUAAUGUGAAUUGAAACACGCAUUGCCUUUUUAACUUAAUUGAGUACUUACUGUGGGUGAAUCACUGCACAAAAUAGGGGAGGGAAAAUGAGGGAGACAAGUAAGAUGUGUUUCCUGCUUUCAAUGGAUUUACAAUUACUUUCAGGGCACUUUUUUUUUUUUUCUUCUGCUCUUAAUUAAAUGUGUUUCUAAGAUAGAAAACAAAUGAAUGGAAAAGUGUAUUCUGCAAGUAUUUUAAAUCCCUUUAAUAAAAAAUGAAACAAAACAAUCUAAUGUGGGCAAGUGAAGGACAUCUUAAUUCCAUUUUUGUGGACUUUUGAUAGGUAGGGUUUAUUUUAUUGAUUCUAUAAAUAUUUGGUAGACUUUAGAGAUAUUAACAUAUUAGAGUUGGAAUUAAUUGGAUUAAUUUUUUUCUUCCUAGGUGUAGAUUGUCUAUUGAAAAGAUACAUUGUGUUUGUACAUUUCUUGAAGAGUGGAUAGGUGAAUUACAUCUGUUGCCUCUGUAGGCCUCUACCUUCUGUGCCCUAGGAGCCUGACAUCCUGUGUGAGUUAUUAGCAUGUGGAAGGGGAACAUUUGGAUCAAACUAUUGUUCACGGACCCAAGACAGGGCAGGGAUAGGAGCAAAACAGACCCAGGCAAUGACUCUGUCAGAAAAUUUGGCUAUUUCAGUAUUCAUGUGUUGUCCUCUAUGUUCCAAAAUUACUGUACGUUUUUUUCAAAAACUUAUUUCUGAUCUGGGAAUAAGUCAUGAUUUUUAGUGUUAAAACACUAAUAGGACUGUAGAUACUAGACAUUUUAUAUGGUGUUUGUAACACAUUUUAUUAUGUAUGAAUCAACAAUAGAAACGUCUUUGUCUGGAGUAGUGUCCAUUUGAAUGGAAAAUGUGCCAGCUUUUUUUUUUUUUACACAUCAUCAACAGACUUCUUAAUUAAGCUGCCAAUAAUACUCCUAAUAGCACUGUGCAUCAUUUGAGAAAUGAAUUGUGAAGUGCUGUUUCCCCCUUAUUGAAUAAACAAUGUUACUCCAUAUAAAAUGGAUUUAAACUGUUUUUGAAUAGGAGAUUAUAUUGCUCCCUAAAGAAUUUGAUGAGAAUUCUUAUACCUUCCCUUUUUACUUAAUUUUCAAAAAUUAAAUAUUUUGCUCCCCAGUAAGGAAUUGUUCUAAUUUGACCAGUGACUAAUGAUAUGAUCCAUCCUUAAUAGGAUGAAUCUCCCUGCCCCCAAAAUCCUGAUGGUGAUACUGGAUGUUUGUUAAUCUGAGUUAUGAAACUAUAUUGUACUAAACUGUAGACCUUUAUUUCCUAUUCUGUGAAAUUUUUUGUAGGGAACAUCUCUAUGUUCCUGGAAACUAGCACAGUGGCUGGCGCAUAGUAGGUAUGUGUUGAGUAAACAUUUGGUGAUCCAAAAAAUGUGUAAGGUAGCUUUUUCUGGGCUUCUUAAGACAGAGGGGUCUUGCUAAUAGAGUAGCACUUUCAUUGGUUUCCAGUCAAUCUAGUUAGAAUAAGUCCAAUUUAACCAGUUUCUUCAUAUUUUAGUCCACUGGGCUUCUUAAUGGGUGUCUUCGAUUCAUAAGUUUGGCCCUGUGAUUUGUACUAACAUCCACUCUGCUUUCCCUGGCCCUUGGCCAACUCGAUCAGGGUAGGCAAACUUUGGAGGGGCUGUUCUGCUUCUCCUCUGGCUUGUCUACCGCUAGAAGAGUAAUCACUCCAUUCACGGGGUAUUCACGACAUGCCAGGCGCGGAGCUAAGUGUUUUACACAUAUUCUCUCACUUAAUUAUCUCAUUUAAACCUUACAGCAACCAUUUGAAGUAGGUAUUAUCUACUGCAGAGAUAUGUAUGUAUCUUGCUUAAGUCAUGGGGAUCUAAAUCCAGAUCUCUUAGAUUCUAAAGCCUGAACUAUUAACCUCUCCCCUCCACUGCAUCCCAGGAGAAAUUCCCAGUGCCUGGUGGUGUGGGGGCAGAUCAAAUCUGGAUGUAGUCCAGAUUCAUUUCAUUUAGUAUUCCCAAACAACAAACUGUCUAACAGAUAAAACCCAGCAAAUCACAGUUGUUUUGAGAAUGGGGAAGGGCAGAGCAAUUGGGAGAAAGCAAAGUUGGAGACAAACCAAUUUGAGUCAAACCUUUAGCCUUUAUCUCAUAAUGCCUUUUUUUUUUUUUAAACUUUCUUUUUUUAACAUGGCCUGACACCAUGUGAUAAAUCAAAGCCUGACGUAAUUGACCCAGAAUUGAUCCCCAAAUGUCUUUUGGGGGAACAUGCUUUAACUCUAGUUGUUGAUUCUGAGGAAUAAUUGCCACCCUAGAAAGGUAAUUACAUAUGCCAUUGUUUAUACACAUAAUAGGCUCAGAAUGCAUAUUCUGCACAGAGGGAAAGAGAAUCCUGCUUCUACAUUAGGGGUGUGUGUUAUGUAUUGUGUCAGAAUGCCACAAAUAGCAUUUGAACUGUUCCCUCUUACUGCUUAUUUCCCUAACAUGUGUGUGUGCAUAUGUGUGCGUGUGUAAGGGUGAGGUUGGGAGUAAGGAAGGAGGUGGGCCAUGGACAGCUGUUUGUUGAGCUGAGCGACAGUGAUUUGCUUUUCCUUAAUUUUUUAGCUUACCAAAACAUCUUCUGGAUCUGAUUCAUUUAACUUGGGCUGGUAAAAUGACUUUUUUUUUUUCCUGCUUGGCAUAUGCUUAUUAAUGAGUUCUCAUAUUUCUUUCCAUCAAGCACUAUUUACCUUGUGGAAAUAUAAAGUGAGAAUCUUUCUCCGCAACAUCCUCCUAAAUGCCCUGGUUUUGACCACCCCUUUAAGUACACCAAAUAGUCAGCUAAAAUGGUAGCUAGUGCCUUUCCUCUCACUGUGCUUUCUGGUAAAACAUAAAUGGGAUUUAAACCACAAAUGACCAAUUAAAGCACUUCAUGCCUUUUUCCUUUAGCCAUAAGACAGUAGUUAACUUGAGUAAAUAUAACAAAUAGGCUAUUUUGUGGUAGUCUAACCUAGCAACAUAUAUAUAUAUAUAUAUUUUCUUUUUUUAAAUCCAAGCUUUAAAAAAACAUAAUGUCAUGAAUUUUUGUAGUACUGCCCAAUGAAAGGAAUACAUAUGUAUUCCAGUAUGGAACUGAGCCUUGUUUGAGGCCAGAGCAAUUCAUCCUGGGCUAUUCUCGGCUGCAGUGUCCAGCAAAUUGCAUGACCUGCUUGUUAGACUUGACAAGACUGUUUUACCUAACAAAGGCCUCUGCAGCUCUGAGCAGCAGUGGAAUGUCAGAAUGAGCACAUUUCACACACAGAUGUGCAGCCAUAAUAGCCUCUAAGAAGAUGCAUGUGGCAGGGAGCUAAGGGUGGGGGUUGGGUGCUUGGAGUGGGUGGUGUGUGAGAGUGUAGUUCGGGGGCCAGCGGGAGAAGGAGACCAACAGUUAGCAGUAGGGAUGUGGCCCCACUGACCACAUUUAAUCAGCCCUCUGUAAACAAUUCAACAUUUUCAUUGUUCUCUAAAAACUAAUAAAGAGAAACAAGCACUUUUCAUUCAUCUUGAAGUAAUUUUCUGUCAGGUUGGAGCCCCUUGCGGCCUCCAGCUUGGGCAAUGCUGGCUGUGUGAUACAACAACUAUUGCAAUUUAUUUUACAAACUCUGGUCAUUCACAUGUCAGUUAGUGUUCACCAAGCCGGCGUCUGAAAUUGUGCAGUUAACGAGUUUUACAACAUUUCUAUCAAGAGAAACUGUUUAGCAUAACUGACUCUUAAGGAGUUAUUAUACCUCUAAAAAUCCAUUUUAAGGGGCAUUAUUUAAAUAAAAUAGAAAAACGGUUCACUGCCUUUUAAAGGGGCUACAAAAAAAGUCCAUCAGCUCCAGUGCAGUAAUCCUCAGCUUAAAGCACUCUUGAGAGUACUUCUGGGAAUUGUCAGCAUAAUGAAAUGUUUUGUGAAAUGUCCAGAUAGAUUCCUCUACUCAACAAUUUUACUGCACCAUAUUUAUUUUCCUUCCAGUUUUUAAAGAAGUGAAUUACUUUUUGAGAGGAUGACUCUAUGUUGUGUAGAUUAACUGAGCACAUUAUUACCCAGGUUGUAGCAGAAGCGAUGGUUCUGUUUGUAGUAUUAUCCAUAUGCAUCUGCAGCCAGGGGCAAAGAAGAGAAAGGCAGCUUUCCCCCCUUAAUGCCUUAGCUCCAAAAGGGUUAAAUCGCCGUGAGGCCUACGGAUUUUGUAGUUUCCUCGUGCCAUGUUUCCUCAGACCUCUAAACAACAUGGGUACAAAAUGGCCCCUGUCAAUACUUCCUUUAAACCUUAAAAAAAUGGACUCUGUUUUCUUACCCUAAAUUACAAACGCAGGGAGAGCCAUACACUUGCACAGUGGCACAUGCAUUCUGAUGCGUAUCAUUUGAACCUGGCCCAUUUCUAUAGGAGAUGCCAUUGGACAUUUUACUUAAAGAAUAGUAGAUUCCUCACAUUAACUGAGAUGGCCAAUGACCCCCAAACCGAUUAAGGGCGAGAGUCCAUAAUAGAGCACUAUAUAGCAUAGCAAAAAGUUCAUUUAGCAUAUUAUAUUACCAAACGGGAGUAGAAGCUACCACUUGUAAUGUUAAUGGCUUAAUGGUUCUUUCUACGGUGAGCAAGGCCAGGAGAAAAAUUAUGUUCUACUGUAACAAGAGAUACUCCAUAUCCCUAAGAGGUGUAUCUGUAACAGGACAUAUUUCCAUUUUGCAACAAAUGAUCCCCUAAUUUCAUAGACUGAUGUUUGUGCACGUGACUUCAAUUUUCUGAGGGAGACAGGCAGGUGUUCUUGUGCCUGUUAGCCGUAUCUGCCCAUAAGAAGCACAGUAACAUCCAUGAGCCAAAUACAAUUUGACAUAAUUCAUACCUUUAUUACCUCCUACAGAAUGAUAUUAUUUCAUGCUGGCACAUUAAUGUUUCCAGUACGAUACUGUCAUUCCUGGAAAUUUUACCUUUUGAAGUUCAAAUAUUGAAGAAUGAGUUUUAAAAUUCUCUAACUGCCUUAGAUUUGGGGAAAAUGCGACUUAUUCCAAGGUCAGCUUUCUUACUCUUUUUUGAUAUUUCAUGGCCCUGUAGAUAAUGUUCAGAUAAUGGGAAAGAUCAUAUCUGAAAACUCUUACCUCUUCUUGACCAAAGAGCUCAUUCUUCUCCUAUUCCUAUUUUUUGCAAGUAAUAUUUCAUCAACUUCUUUUGUCAUACUUAGUUCACUGUUAUGUAUUCCUCUAGUGAUGCAAAUUCAGGAGAAGUUGACCCAAAAUGUUUAAAUGAUGGCAGCUUGAAUCUGUUCUGUGUAGUACUUAGAGCUGUCCUGAUACUCCAGCAUUCAAAAUUAGUUAGGGCAGAUGGAGUACAGAAGUUUCCUUUUGCAGCCAUAACAAAUUACCACAACUUUAGUGGCUUGAAAUAAUGCAAGUUUAUUGGCAUACAGUUCUGUAGUUCAGAGAUCUCACUGGGCUAAAAUCACUUGUUGACAGAGCUGCAUUCCUUCUGGAGGUUCUAGGGGAGUAUCCUUUCCCUUACCUUUUCUAGCUUCCAGAGACUGCCUGCUUUCCUUGACUCAUGGCCUCUUCCUCCAUCUUCAAAACUGGGAGUGGCAAGUCAAAUCCUUCUCACAUGGCGUCAGCCUGCCUCUUUUCCAUUGUCACCUUUCUCUUUCAUGGACUGUAGCUGGAAAAUAUUCUGUACCUUUGAGGAAUCAUGUGAUUAGAUUGGGCCCACCCAGAUAAUCCAGGAUAAUCUCUCCACCUCACCGUCUCUAUUCUAAAACAUAUCUUCAAAAUCCUUUUGGCAUGCAAGAUAUAAUAUUGACAGGGUCUGGAGAAUGGGACUUGGACAUCUUUGGUAGGGGGUGGGGGUUGAUGGCAUUAAUCUGCCUAUCCCAUGGAGUCUCUGAGAGUUCUUUCCCAUGCCAAUAUUUGGAGAGUUAAUUGCAGUUCCUAGGAGUCUCCAAACUUUUAAAAUCAUGCAUGAAAAUAGUUUCAAAAUUUUGAUUAGGUACCCCAGUGUAUGUACAUUUCCUUCUAAACCAUCCCACAUUAUCUAUAUUAAUAGUAUAUAUAUUAGUAGUAAAGCUUCAUUUCUUUUUAGUAUAUAAAUAAAUAAAAGCAGACCUUCUAAUGAUUUCUUUGCACCUCAGUGCACCAUCUUGUCUGCCCCCCCACAGGGCUGUGUGCCCCUAAUUUUGGAGGAGGAGGAGAAAGGAUAAAGUUUGGGUUAAUUUGUGUCAAUGAGGCUCUUUAUUCUUUCAGAAAUGUAAGUCUUCAAAGUAAGGAAGGGACUGCAGAGACUUUUUGGUAGUCUCUAUUAAUUUUUGACAGUGAGGAGUUGCGGAGUAUAAUAACAGUGUACAAUGUAAUGUACCCAAAGCUUUCCUGAAAGUUGAGACCUGUGAAUUAUAGAAUUAUUAGACAUGGGCCAUUUUGUAAAAGACUAGAAAGAGAUUGUUCACCAGAAGCUCUAGGGUAAGACCAUAUCUUGUGAAAUAGCUACUCAUGUCAGUGUGAUUGAAAAUCCCAAGAAGCCAAUUGCUCCACGAACAUUUUAAACACUAGUGGCAAGGUCCAUGUGAAACUGAGCUGAGAGGAAGGGUGAUUCUGCUAAGUUCAUUUGAAAUCCUAGUUUUCGACUUUGAAAACAUCUAUAUCCUAUCAGCCACUCUUGAUCUCCGUGCCAUAUGGGCCUAUAACAACAUAGGAAAACCAGAAAUUGUGACACAGGCUGACUCUGUUAAAUCCCCUUAUGUUAAAAUAUGAGAUGUUUUUAGAGCAGUCACCCUCAAAAAAAUGGGAUCUUGCUAAGAUAUGCUGACACACCUCUGAAAUCAAAAAGAGCUUCUGCUGGCAAAUGAAAGUAGGUUGCUGCAAAAACGUACAUCAAUUAGGAAACAAGUCAGUGAGUGUUUGCCAACUGCCAUAAGUGUCCCAGAAGCAGUCUGGGCAGUAGAUUUUUGUUUAAUUUUUUUCCAGGCACUCACUUCUAUUUUCUUUCUGAAAGGUGGGCAGGUAGUCGUCUUAAAUCCUUCACUGAUAGUUCCUAUCAGUGACAUCUCAAAAUGUAACUGAUAACAUGUCAAUGAUUACUGUACAAAGAAGUUAAACAUUAGAGUGAAAUUUCCCCAUUGAAACCCAAUACAGGGAUUAGCAACAAUAGGGAAUCUGUUUUAUUUGCAUUUAAUUUGUACCUUCACACUAUUAUCUCCCAUGUUUUAGUUUCAGGAAAUGUGGUCUCAGGCUAUUAUAACCGCAUUUCAUGCUGCUGUUGCACUGUUAUUUGAUCUCUAUGGUUGGAAAUGACUUACUGAAAAAAUAAAGCUAGCAUACUUUAUUUUAAUUAUACCAGUGCAGCGUCUAAAUAAAAAACGUACUUUAUAUUUAAUGUGGAGCACAGAUUAACAGUUUUAUGGGACAUAAAAUCUAUCUAUAUCAUUUUCUAUUUACACAUCAGUUAUAUAUCUUUCUCUCGGCAAAACAAAUGCCUAUGGUGUGAAAACAAGGAAGGAGAGCAUUGAAGUUACAAUCACAUGGGCAGUAAAUAACAUCUUAAUUGGUCUGGAAUGCCGGAGUUUGAUUUUUUUUCCGCCUGGCUUUUAUUUAUUGAUCUCUAUAGCUUAUUUAUCUUUCCAGUGAUUUGUACAAGUCUAUCUCCUUUCCUCAAUAAGCCAAUGUAUGGUGGUUUUAUAUUGCACAUCCCAUCUGGGGAAAUGGUCUAGUGAGAGAAGUGCCGUUGCUCCUGGAAAAGCCAUUAUUUAAAAGCUUUCGUAGAGGUAAGGGUGACGUCUUAGUUUUUAUGCUCUGUCUUCUGGAAAAGAGAAGGAAAGACGAAGUGUGGCUAUUAUGAAGUUGCCACCCAAUGUAUGUUUCAACAGUUCUCUUCUCUCCCUUGUCUGGCAGCAGGAGGAAAACAAAGAAGGACUUAGUGUACACUGGGAGAUGUCUUUUAAAUGUUCCUGUGCACGAUUUAGCUCCUGGUGAGGGUAGCAGACAGGAAUGGAUUAUGUAUAUCUCAUACAUAAUCUGUACACCUUGGGUUUUCCUCUGUACGCCUCUCUGCAGUUCCAGCCCUUCUAUCUUUCUAAACAGCUCUUUAGGAUAAACGACACUUCAAAUGACACAUUAUGCCCCACAGUGGGGUUGAGAACUGGCAAAUGUAACCAUUCUUGGGAAAGCUAGUUGGCAAAAAGUCCAACACUUUUCCUAGUAGAUCGCUGUCCACAGUUGAAGCAGAGCCUGGAAAAUUAGUCAUUUUUCCUCCUCCUAAAUCAGUGAUCCCCUUGUUCAUCAAACCAGCACUUCCAGUAUUUGUCAUGAUUCUGUUGGGUUGCCUUGAUCUCACAGAAUAUUAGCAAAGUGCUCUGAAAGAUCUCCUCUGUUGAUAGCUGAGGGAAAAACAAGUUUACAGAUGGCAGUGCUAUACUUACACUAUGCAAGUGAUGCUUUGCAAAGUGAUUCUGUAAACAUAUUCCAAAGAAGAGGCUCUGCUCUCCCAUCACCACCCUAAUAUAACCUUAAAUGCUUUAAAAUGAGCUAAUGAAAAUUUGGGGCAGGUCUUUUAGAGAAUGCAUUUGCAUUUGACAUAAUUAGUGGUAGGCAGAUCUCACCACAUCCAGAGGGAAUCUCAAGACAACUGCUUGGUCGACUAUUAGUGCUUAAUUUCUGAAUGUCAAACCCUGCACAUCUUAAUUUCUAGAGAAUAAGCUCAAUUGAACUUGCUCCCCAGUUAUGCAAAAACUGCUCAGAUAAAACCAAGUGGACACCAAUGUAAUGAAUGUGGUUAUUAAAUUGUUUCAAUUGAAAGAACCCUAUUCUUACACCAUCAUAAUGGGAACAAUUUAUCCCCACUGAUCGGGCUGUCUCUCUCUUUCUCUCUCUUGCUCUCUCUUUUUCUGAGCUCUCUUUGAUCUUGAAGCAUAUUGCAGUGGUGUGUCCUAUUGAAAAGCGAAACUGGGGCAAUUUUAAUGCUUUUGUACCUUACCAGUGCUCUAUUUUUUCACUGUUUAAAAAUAGCUGUUAAUUAUAAGUGCAGUUUAAAUGUCUCAAGUGACCCAGAAAUGCAGGUUGGAAUGAGACAGAUUGUGUGUCUCAUAUAAAACAGAUGUACUCUCACAGAGCAUUCUGAAUUCAGCCUUCCCUCUGUAUCCUUCUCUUGGGUUAUUUCAAUCAGGUAUUGAGCUGGUCUAGCACCGUGCUAUAAAAUCCCACACAUUUGAAGUGGAAAAAAAAAAAAAAAAA